rnacentral:lncRNA from 1 species
UGUGAUGUCAUAGCGACGUGUGCACUGUGCACAAACGUUACGUCAGGCGACGGAGACGUCACAGGAAUGGUGGACUGCUGUAGCGCGCGGAGCGGCAUGACAACUGUGAGAAACUUACGAGCCGAAAAGACCGCUUUACGACACCAUUGAACCCUUACACUGAUGGACAACAAAAGACGUCAUGAUUAGAGAUAUUGAUUCAAGAGAAAGGGUUCAAGAUGACACAUGCUCUAAGGUGUGAAGGGACACACAAUGAGGAAGAUGAGGAUGAUGAGGAGGUUAGCCCUAUUAGAUCCAGUUUCUCCGUGGAGGACCUGCUCGAUGAGGUGGAGAAGAUCAGCAGUGUCGCCAGUAGCGGCAAAAAGGUCAGACAGUUUAUACCGAGACAUCUUGUGUGCAA